GAAUUGCUCUGAUUGAGAACUUGCAUAUGGUUUGAUACUCAGUUGCAAAAACAAGGAGUGCACGAAACACACUUUAAAAGGCAAUUUAGCACACUGUAAAAGGAUCUAUGUGAUUGUAAGAUUGAUCUAUCAAUCAUUUAUACCUUUUUCUGGUCUGACUAUUGGAUCAUAUCCUGCUUGGGUCUACAUCCACCGGUGCCUCAUCAGUACGAUCGAUAGAUUCAUUGUAACUGCAGCCUUUGCUUGUCUGAAUUUUGUGCAGGUAAACAGCACAAGAGCAGCCUGUGCUAUCGUUUUAUGUCUUUGUUCUGCAUAGCAGCCUAUUCACCUACUCGUUGCAUGGCAGAUCAGGAUCAGUUAAGAACUUGCAUGGGAGAUGCUGAAUAUCACUCUAUCUUUCAAAGAGAAUAGCAUUAGCUUAUCUGUUGGCUGCCCUCCAGAAAUUUGGAUGUAGAUUAUGGAUUUGAAUUGUUGUUUUGUUCCUAAUCUGGUUCUCAUUAUAGUAUCUGAGCCACCGCAGAUCAUCCACUAUGUAUGCUAUGCACCUCUAUACUUAACAACUCCCUGCUAUUUUGGUGAAAUUGAGAAGAAUGUACAUUUAUGUCUUCAAUUAACAAUAUGCUGUUUUGUUGUAGCCAAGGAGCAGUUUGCUGAAGCUGAGAGGAAAGAAAGUAGCUAGGAGGUAUUUGUAUUGCCAUUUAUUCUAGAGCAACCAUCACAUUUUGAUUGGUUAGGUGGAUACUCUAUGUAAUUGCUUACAAUUUAAUAGACUGUAAUCAAAAUUUUUGUGUACCGUGAACCAUUUAUUUUAUGUAUUUUGAUCA